UACGUAGGUGGCAAGCGUUGUCCGGAUUUACUGGGCGUAAAGAGCGCGCAGGCGGCUGGGCAAGUCCGAUGUGAAAUCUCCCGGCUCAACUGGGAAACUGCAUCGGAAACUGAUCGGCUUGAAGAUGGGAGAGGGUAGUGGAAUUCCCGGUGUAGUGGUGAAAUGCGUAGAUAUCGGGAGGAACACCAGUGGCGAAGGCGACUACCUGGCCCAUUCUUGACGCUGAGGCGCGAAAAGCUAGGGGAGCGAACAGG
rnacentral:rRNA from 1 species